rfam:Streptomyces thermoautotrophicus strain H1 H1_chromosome, whole genome shotgun sequence.
CGGGGUGUGGCGCAGUUUGGUUAGCGCGCUGGCUUUGGGUGCCAGAGGCCCCCGGUUCAAGUCCGGGCACCCCGA